AGUGAACGCUGGCGGUAGGCCUAACACAUGCAAGUCGAACGGCAGCACAGUAAGAGCUUGCUCUUACGGGUGGCGAGUGGCGGACGGGUGAGGAAUACAUCGGAAUCUACUUUUUCGUGGGGGAUAACGUAGGGAAACUUACGCUAAUACCGCAUACGACCUACGGGUGAAAGCAGGGGAUCUUCGGACCUUGCGCGAUUGAAUGAGCCGAUGUCGGAUUAGCUAGUUGGCGGGGUAAAGGCCCACCAAGGCGACGAUCCGUAGCUGGUCUGAGAGGAUGAUCAGCCACACUGGAACUGAGACACGGUCCAGACUCCUACGGGAGGCAGCAGUGGGAAAUAUUGGACAAUGGGCGCAAGCCUGAUCCAGCCAUACCGCGUGGGUGAAGAAGGCCUUCGGGUUGUAAAGCCCUUUUGUUGGGAAAGAAAAGCAGCAGGCUAAUACCCCGCUGUUCUGACGGUACCCAAAGAAUAAGCACCGGCUAACUUCGUG
rnacentral:rRNA from 1 species